GCGCGGCGCUGGCCCUCGCCCGUAGGUGGCGGGGCGGCCGCGACCCCCGGCGGGGUACUCGGUACUGUUAGCCAGCCUGCGGUGCGCAGCCCUCCCGCUCCGCCGCCCCGGGCUGUCGCGACCGAGCCGUGACUCGUAAUUGGCGUCUGUGGCUCAGGCGAGAGCAGACUGUAUCGCGUGUUCAGUGACAAAUGAACCAAAGCAAGAGGUUGCCAUCUCCACAAUGACAUUGCAUCCAAACCCCUGGCUAUGAAAUCAAGAUUGCUGGUCACUGUCACAUGUGAUGGGGCUGUGCUCUCCUGGAGGUGGCUGAACACCUGCUUGCCCAUGGAAAAUGAAACUCAGUCCUUGGCAUAAUACAAUGAAGCCCCUGAAGCUGAUGAUCUGGAACAGGAAUACUGACGUAUGCUGUACUCCUUGCUGAACCUUGGGCAUAACUUGCAAACUUUUAUGGGAUUGUUCCGGUUUGAACAAGAACUUGCUACCUGAAGAACAAUUUUCCAAGAAACAAAUGAUUGCAGACAUGUUGUACACUGGUCUUCUAUGCAAAGACAAACACUUUAUAGGUGACCAGCUAAUGUUGGAGCCACAGCCACCACUUCAGAGAGCACUGGGAGCAUGGAGUUAAACACCUGCUAAUUUGACUGGGCUGGUUUGCAUCGAUUUUGGUUUGCUUUGAGUGCCAGUCACCACUGUCUAACCCUGCUAUGAGAGUUACUGAUGGUGUUCCCAGUCUCCUCCUAGGCUGCCUCUGUUGGUCUCAGCCAGAGUUCAGUCUCCAGGAGGGGUGGGAGACAUUCAGACCUCCUCAUCUGCGGCAGGCAGACACCUGCCCUGUGGUGCCUUCAGGACCCAGAUGAGGCAGGCAGGCAUCCACUGCUGGUCCCUGUGUUUGCUGCAAGAGCUCUUGUCUGAAGGUUUUGAUAAUGAGGGAGCUACAGGGGUGACUUCUGUGAGAAACUGCCAGAAGAUUCCCCCAUGGACAACAAAGCCAAUUCCAGCCAGCUCCAGGAUGGACCUGCUGCUGGCCAAGGCUGAGCCCAUCAACAAUGGCCCUAGUGCCUCUGGGAUAACAGAUUUAAUAAAGAGAGGAACUGCUGGAAGAGCAGCCAGAAAGAGGAGGGAGAACAUGUGAGAGGAGCAGCUCUGCAGACACCAAGAUCAGUGCAGAAGGAGGAGCAGGAGGUGCUCCAGCCACUGGAGCAGAGAUCCAACUGCAGCCCGUGGUGCAGCCCAUGGAAAGGCAGGAUGUGACCCUCUGGUCUGUGGAGGUCCAUGGAGGAACAGAGAUCCAACUGCAGCCUGUGGGGGACCCCACACUGGAGCAUGGAGAGCCUGAAGGGGGCUGUGGCCCCGUGGAGACCUGUGCUGGAGCAGGGUCCUGGCAGGAGCUGUGCCCCAUGGAGACAGAGCCCGCACUGAGCAGCUUGCUGGCAGGACUGGUGGUCCCAUGCAGGACCCACUCUGGAGCAGUGUGUUCCUGAAGGACUGCACUCAGAGGGAGGAGAAGAGCUGCAACCCCUGGGAAGGAUUUACAUUUGGAAAGUUUGUGUCUCCUGUUGAAGGGACCUCCGCACUGGAGCAGAGGAAGAGUGUGAGGAGUCCACCCCUUGAAAAGGAAAGAACAGCAAAGACAAUGUGUGGUGGAUUGACCACAACCUUGAUUCCUCAUUCCCCUGCUUGACUGGGGAGAAGGAAAUAGACAGAAUUUGGAUUUAAGUUAAAUCUGGGAAUAAGAGGGAGUAAGGGUCGACAGUUUCAGAUUUAGUUUUUAUUUCUUGUUACCCUACUCUGAUUUGCUUGGUAAUAGAUUACUCUAAUUUUCCCAAGGUGAGUCUGUUUUGCCUGUGAUGGUAAUGAUGAAAGAUCUCCCCUUGUCCUUUUCUCAGUCCAGGAGCCUUUCAUUAUAUGUAGUCCUCCUUUGAGUACUCUAAUAAUUUAACACCUUUCUUAUAUUGUGGUGCCCAAAACUUCACACAAUAUUCAAGGUGAGGCUGCCCCAGCUCA